GAAAGGAGUGGCGUACUCGGCGGCGAGAGCCUUCCUGGCCAGUCGCAGCCGGUUAGAACUGAUUAGAACAGGCCUUUCCUCUGCCAGGUUCCUCUUUAUUCGUGAGUAUUUGAACAUCCCCGCGGUCGGUAGAAGACCAGAUGUAGAUCUGAUCGUGGAGCUAAGGGGAGGAGCCAGGGUGCAAGGGUUCCCGCCUUGCCUCUACCCGGGCACACAAGGUGCCACAGGCAGGAACUUGGUCCGCGGGCGUCUUGAAGUCCUGGCUAGAGAAAAGAUGGGGACCCAGGUCCUGCAAGUACAUUUGCUGCAGAUUCACUAAUCCCUGUGGCCAGGUCUGACUAAAUUUACCAAUUGAGCUAUCUCUUCAGCCCCUCUAUCUUCCCAUUUGAUCCUAUACUCUAGAAUUCUAUCAUACAGUACAAACUAUGUCUCAAUGGGAAAUAUAACAUCGGAGAAGACCAGAGCUCUUCACAACAGAAAGCUUCCUUUGCUUAUUACUAAUUGUGGCCAUAAACUUGGAUCUAUGACCUCACUCACCGUGAGACUAUAUAAUCAUCGUCAUACGAAACAAACAGGCGAGGGAGGUACUUGGAACUACAGCUUUCAAAACCUGGACACGAAGAAGCACAGGAUAGGCUCAUCUGGUCCUCUACAUAGAGAAGAAAAGAGCUAAUUUCAAGAACUAUUUCAUUUACUGAACCUGUACAUGGAUUUCCAGCCACCUUUAGCAAGAUGGAUUUUUUAUAGAAUAUUUACCUUUGUUUUCUAUACAUGCAUGUUUCCCUGUAUGUAUGUUUGUGCAGCACAUGUGUGUCUAGUGUCCUGGAGGAAGGCAGAAGAGGAUGUUGGAUCCCCUGGAAGUGGAGUUACAGAUGUCUGUGAGCUGCCGUGAAAGAGCUGCAAAUCACACUGCUUCUAACAAAGCUGCAAAUGUUCUUAACCACUGAGCCAUCUCUCCAGCUCAUGUUGGAUUUCUAAAAUGCUGGGAAUUUUGUUAUAUUCUUCCUCAAAAUAUUUUCUCAAGCCAUGCAGGCAAUGCUGGUCCUGGCCUUCAAUUCCAGCACUCACGAGGCAGAGGCAAGUGGAUCUCUGUGAAUUCGAGGCCAGUCUGAUCUACUGAGCAAGUUUCAAGAUAGCCAAGUAUACACAGAGAAACCCUGUCUCAAAAAAGUUUUUUCUCUUCCAACAAUAAAGUUCUGAUAUGGAUGCAUUA